GAAAGUAGGGAGUACACAUAUAAAAGAAUGAUAUAAGAUAAAAAAAAAAAUGGAACUUGGGGUUAAAGAAUUGAGAAACUGGAUUAGGUGAGCAUUCCCUUUAACCCCAUCAAUGCAAAGUUCCAAAAGUUUCAAGUUUUGGAAGGGGGUGAGGAAAUUUGCAUCCUUUUUUUUACUGUGAAUGGAGAGAGAAAGGGUGUGAAUGAUGGGACGAAGACUACUGAUGCGGUGGAAGAAGGCAGAGACAGUAACCCUGCCAACAACAACACAAACAAAGGUGCUGUGGGAGCACAGAAAAACUCCCACGAGAUU
rnacentral:lncRNA from 1 species